rnacentral:rRNA from 1 species
AACGAACGCUGGCGGCAGGCCUAACACAUGCAAGUCGAACGCCCUAGCAAUAGGGGGUGGCAGACGGGUGAGUAACGCGUGGGAACGUACCCUUCGGUUCGGAAUAAGCCGGGGAAACCUGGUCUAAUACCGGAUACGUGCGAGAGCAGAAAGAUUUAUCGCCGAAGGAUCGGCCCGCGUCCGAGUAGCUAGUUGGUGAGGUAACGGCUCACCAAGGCGACGAUCGGUAGCUGGUCUGAGAGGAUGAUCAGCCACACUGGGACUGAGACACGGCCCAGACUCCUACGGGAGGCAGCAGUGGGGAAUAUUGGACAAUGGGCGCAAGCCUGAUCCAGCCAUGCCGCGUGAGUGAUGAAGGCCCUAGGGUUGUAAAGCUCUUUCGCCAGGGACGAUAAUGACGGUACCUGGAUAAGAAGCCCCGGCUAACUUCGUGCCAGCCGCCGCCGUAACAC